UACGUAGGGGGCGAGCGUUGUCCGGAGUUACUGGGCGUAAAGCGAGUGUAGGCGGUCUUCUAAGUCGGAUGUGAAAGCCCCUGGCUCAACUGGGGAAGUGCACCCGAAACUGAAUGGCUUGAGUGCGAAAGAGGGUCGCGGAAUUCCCGGUGUAGAGGUGAAAUUCGUAGAUAUCGGGAGGAACACCGGUGGCGAAGGCGGCGACCUGGGUCGACACUGACGCUGAGGCGCGAAAGCGUGGGGAGCAAACAGG
rnacentral:rRNA from 1 species